AACGAACGCUGGCGGCAGGCCUAACACAUGCAAGUCGAACGCCCUAGCAAUAGGGAGUGGCGCACGGGUGCGUAACGCGUGGGAAUAUGCCCUUGACUGCGGAACAACGUCGGGAAACUGACGCUAAUACCGCAUAAUGUCUUCGGACCAAAGAUUUAUCGGUCAAGGAUUAGCCCGCGUCUGAUUAGCUAGUUGGUGAGGUAACGGCUCACCAAGGCGACGAUCAGUAGGGGGUCUGAGAGGAUGAUCCCCCACACUGGGACUGAGACACGGCCCAGACUCCUACGGGAGGCAGCAGUGAGGAAUAUUGGACAAUGGGCGCAAGCCUGAUCCAGCCAUGCCGCGUGAGUGAUGAAGGCCUUCGGGUUGUAAAGCUCUUUUAACGGUGAAGAUAAUGACGGUAGCCAUAGAAAAAGCCCCGGCUAAAUUCGUGCCAGCAGCCGCAGUAA
rnacentral:rRNA from 1 species